rnacentral:rRNA from 1 species
UAAUGCUCCAUAGUGGAUAUGUCCUGGAAUGGUAUAUCCUCGAAAGAUCCGUCGCCUUAGGAUGGGACUGCGUCCGAUUAGGUUGUUGGCGGGGUAACGGCCCACCAAGCCAUUGAUCGGUACGGGUUGUGGGAGCAAGAUCCCGGAGAUGGAUUCUGAGACAUGAAUCCAGGCCCUACGGGGCGCAGCAGGCGCGCAAACUUUACAAUGCGAGCAAUCGUGAUAAGGAAACCCUGAGUGCCUGUCGAUGCAGGCUGUUCAUAUAUCUAAAUCAUAUGUGAAGAAAGGGCAGGGCAAGACCGGUGCCAGCCGCCGCGGUAAUACCGGCUGCUCGAGUGAUGGCCACUAUUACUGGGUUUAAAGCGUCCGUAGCUUGACUGUUAGGUCUCUUGGGAAAUCUUCACGCUCAACGUGAAGGCGUCUAAGAGAUACCGGCAGUCUUGGAACUGGGAGAGGUAAACCGUACUUCGGGGGUAGGAGUGAAAUCUUGUAAUCCUCGAGGGACGACCUAUGGCGAAGGCAGUUUACCAGAACAGCUUCGACAGUGAGGGACGAAAGCUGGGGGAGCAAACGGGAUUAGAUACCCCGGUAGUCCCAGCCGUAAACAAUGCGCGUUAGGUGU